rnacentral:rRNA from 1 species
UACAUGGGGUGCAAACGUUGCUCGGAAUUAUUGGGCGUAAAGCGCACGUAGGCGGUUUGUUAAGUCGGAUGUGAAAUCCCUCGGCUCCAACUGAGGAAAGUGCAUCCGAAACUGGCAGGCUUGAGUACUAAAGAGGGUCGCGGAAUUCCCCGGUGUAGAGGUGAAAUUCGUAGAUAUCGGGAGGAACACCCGGUGGCGAAGGCGGCGACCUGGGUAGAUACUGACGCUGAGGUGCGAAAGCGUGGGGAGCAAACAG